ensembl:ncRNA F02D10.15 ncRNA
UAGCACGGAUGGCCGAGUGGUCUAAGGCGCCAGACUCAAGCAAUAGCUUGCCUCAAGUUCGAGGCCAAUUUUCUAUUUUU